rnacentral:lncRNA from 1 species
UAUUAAGAUUAUGGGUCAUUUUUGUCUUACAAUGGGGUUAUGUUUUGAUAACCUUAUUUUAAAUCAAGAAUGGCCCGUAACAUUAAUAACUAUAGUAGUAAUGGAGAGUUUCAGCAACAACUUCUACAACUUAGCUCUGACCGAGAAAGUCCACGGUCUGCACAUACGCAAGGUUGUUAGUUGUACUGUUGCUUUUUGUAUCUGUUUUGAUCAUAUUGUUGACCAAUAAAACAGUUUUCUGUCAUCAUGUUUUCAAUACGAGAAGGAAGUGAUCUUUGCUGUCUGAUGCAACUCAGAAUUUUAAAAUUUACUGUCAGGUGGUGCAAUAUAAUAGAUGAUUUUUCACAUGUCCAAACUUGACUACCUAAACACUUCUACAUAAAAAUAAAUCAUCCAAAGCACUAUUCAGCAGUUGUAUAAAUACAUCAACUUUAUUAUAGCAAACAUUUUCAGUGAUUGUCCACCCUUUUCAGGCUACAAACAUUCAAAAUAAAAAUCAAACAACAAAAAAAGAACAUCGAAUAUCAUGUGAAAAGUCUGUUGUUACCGUAGAAAUAUUAAAAUAAUAAAAAUUAAACAAAACGUAAAAACAAACUAAAAAUAAAAAUAUUAAAAGCCUAUAAUAUACUAAAAGGCUAUUAACAUUGGAGUGCGUACUCUUCAUAUAGGAUUCCGCUAGGCAGAAAAUGCACUUAAGUAGCAUGCCUUCUAAACAAGAUUUCAAGGGGUUAAGUACUUGCCUUUUAAAUUAGCUUACAAAGAUCUUUCUCCCGUUGUCCGUGUAGUGUUUGCUCAGCAUUGUGAAUAUCUGGCCUACUCCUGUGGUUCCUUUUCCAUUCUUUCAGCAGGUAUUUCCAAGUUGUGGGCACUUGGGUCCCUGGGCGAUCAUUGAGGAAUCAUUCAGUGUCUUGCCUUUUUAAAAUAUGUAAGGUUUCAGUGAUCAAUAUUUGGGAGCAGCAUUAACUGGUUUUAUAGUGCUAAUUUGAAGUUAAAACUGAAAUUAAUGAUUAAUGAGGAUUUUUUAUAUAUUAAGU